CGGGGCGCCGGAGAAUAAAGCCCCGAGGGCCGGAGCCCGGCGCCCCCCCGCUGUCCCUGGAGCCCCCCCCGGGCCGGGCCCGCUGGGCGGGUCCCCCCACACCGGUCCAAUGCCCGACACCGCCGGGACUCCGGCUUUCCCUACAUCACUCUGGGGGUUCCCGGAGGGGAUCGGGGCAAGUCCUGCGAGUCCGAGAUCAGAAAUAGAACCCGAGGUUUUUUUCUGGCACCAAACUCAGCAGCGCCGUGGCGGAGCCCGGGAAACAGCGGGGCCGGGCCGGGGGCACCGGGAGUGGCUGCGCCGGGCUCGGAGCAAAGAAUAUCCCAGACUGCCUCCUCACCCUCGUGGACAGCAGGAGUGUCUUCCAUAGCUCCUGUUUAGGAAUGGCAGUGGCUGUGGGGAGCUCUGGCAGGAGCAGCUGGAGACCAGCAGAGAAACAUUUAAACAAGAGGUGCCAAAAAGAAUUUGAGCUUCUGCACAAUGAAAUCUGCAGGAAUCCAACUUAAAAUCCCCCUGGAUUGUCACCAGUCCAACUUCCAUGGACUGGGCUCUGUGGCCAGGAGUGUCCAAUCCUGCUGGAAAUGCGCCGGACCAGGAUGUCAUUUUCACUUUAUACAGCACAGGAGCUUUUCCCUUGCCUAGAGGAGCAGCCAGUGCUUUCCUUAGACCACAGAUCCCCAGGAUGGACCACAGAGAAAAUAACAGGAAUGUGGAAAUCCCCCACACAGGGAGUUUGUGGUGGAUUACAUUUUGGAUUUAUAAUGUUAAAGGGAGGGUGUAGGGGGAGUUUUCUCUCUCUCCUGUUCAUUAUUGUUCUCACUGUUCUUGUUGUUCUCACUAUUAUGUGUUGUCAUUAAUAUUAAAUGACUGUAUUUGACUGGUUUCCAUUAUUAAAAGUGUUCUGAGCUGG
rnacentral:lncRNA from 1 species